rnacentral:rRNA from 1 species
GACGAACGCUGGCGGCGUGCUUAACACAUGCAAGUCGAACGGAAAGGCCCUGCUUUUGUGGGGUGCUCGUGUGGCGAACGGGUGAGUAACACGUGAGUAACCUGCCCUUGACUUUGGGAUAACUUCAGGAAACUGGGGCUAAUACCGGAUAGGAGCUCCUGCUGCAUGGUGGGGGUUGGAAAGUUUCGGCGGUUGGGGAUGGACUCGCGGCUUAUCAGCUUGUUGGUGGGGUAGUGGCUUACCAAGGCUUUGACGGGUAGCCGGCCUGAGAGGGUGACCGGCCACAUUGGGACUGAGAUACGGCCCAGACUCCUACGGGAGGCAGCAGUGGGGAAUAUUGCACAAUGGGCGGAAGCCUGAUGCAGCAACGCCGCGUGCGGGAUGACGGCCUUCGGGUUGUAAACCGCUUUCGCCUGUGACGAAGCGUGAGUGACGGUAAUGGGUAAAGAAGCAACGGCUAACUACGUG